rnacentral:tRNA from 1 species
GGCUCGGUAGCUUAGUUGGUAAAGCGCUCGUCUGGAAUACAAGAGCCCUGGGUUCGAAUCCCAGCCGAGCAU